CCUACGAGAGGCAGCAGUGAGGAAUAUUGGUCAAUGGACGAAAGUCUGAACCAGCCAAGUAGCGUGAAGGAUGACUGCCCUAUGGGUUGUAAACUUCUUUUAUAUGGGAAUAAAAUGUUCCACGUGUGGGAUUUUGUAUGUACCAUAUGAAUAAGGAUCGGCUAACUCCGUGCCAGCAGCCUCGGUAAUAGGGGGGAACCGAGCGUUAUCCGGAUUUAUUGGGUUUAAAGGGAGCGUAGGUGGAUUGUUAAGUCAGUUGUGAAAGUUUGCGGCUCAACCGGAAAAUUGCAGUUGAAACUGGCAGUCUUGAGUACAGUAGAGGUGGGCGGAAUUCGUGGUGUAGCGGUGAAAUGCUUAGAUAUCACGAAGAACUCCGAUUGCGAAGGCAGUUCACUGGACUGCAACUGACACUGAGGCUCGAAAGUGUGGGUAUCAAACAGGAUUAGAUACCCGAGUAGUC
rnacentral:rRNA from 1 species